rnacentral:rRNA from 1 species
UACAGAGGGUGCGAGCGUUAAUCGGAAUUACUGGGCGUAAAGCGCCCGUAGGCGGCUUGGUAUGUCGGGUGUGAAAUCCCCGGGCUCAACCUGGGAACUGCAUCCGAAACUGCCUUGCUCGAGUAUGGGAGAGGGAAGUGGAAUUUCCGGUGUAGCGGUGAAAUGCGUAGAUAUCGGAAGGAACAUCAGUGGCGAAGGCGACUUCCUGGACCAAUACUGACGCUCAGGUGCGAAAGCGUGGGGAGCAAACAGG